CUAGAUUCAAAGCAAAUUUGUCAAGCCCUGCUUUACUUAUUGUUCUUAUGUUUUAGUCACCUGAUGUGACGAGACCAAUCUCGCCACAUUGCAUUGAAGAAGCCUGGUUGAUCGCUUGCUGCCUCUGGACUAUGGCCCCCUGUUAAAAGACUUUGUUUCGCCUGCAGAAAAGCUGUAUUCAUGUGGUCUAAGCGCCAUUCACUUAAUAAUGUGUGCUCAGACCUGGGCUAUCUGGGGAUAUGUUAAAUGUCUAGUUUUAAUGUAAUGUGUCUUACCUGGUGUAUUUUAACAGUAAUGCUUGUUUUAGUAUCCCCAUGUGCAUAAUGAAGAUUUGCCUUUGUCUUGGGAGAUAAUUGAAUUACUUCUCAAUUAUCUCCCAGGGCAGAGGGGUGGAAGCCAGGAUGCAUUGUGGGAAUAUACUGUGACUGUGUGUCCUAUUUGUCUGCUUGUCUGUCCCUUGACACAGUCUCCCAUUUGGUCCCCUAGGGGAGUGUCCACCAGGUGGGAGACCUGCAUAAAUACUGGGCAGGUAGCCCUCAUUAAACAGACCACUGCUUGACCC